AGCACGGCGAGGGAGGAGCGAAGGAGCAGGGCGAUGCAUGAAGAGACCGCGGUUCAUGGAGAUGGGGAGAAUGCAGUCUUUGCUACACAUCCUUUUGGGGCAGGGAAUCUCUCUCGCUACAGCAGUGUUGCUGUAGCCUUGUUGGUCCCAGGAGAUGAGAGAGACCAGCACAUUGGGAGCCAGUGAUGAAAGAACCUGUUGGGUUUUUCCCUUCUGCUGCACCUGGAAUCUCAACUCUCCAGAUAUUCACUCUGCUGCACAACUUAUGUCUCUCGCCAAACAUUCUGGCCAAGUUGGAUCCUGAGGUCAAGUCAUCUCUGCAAUUCUCAGCUCAGUGGCUGCAAUCCUGGAAGAACAUUCCAGAUAUGUCUGGAAAAGCAUGGAUAAUGAUGUUGGUAUCUUUGCGCAGGUCCGACAAGAUGCUGAGAAUCUUAGCUCCUACCUCAGGCCCUGCUUCAGCAAAACACAUAGUUCAGUUCCAUUGACUUCACUAGAAGUAAGCAUGCUCUUAAAAUGAAUUGCUUUGCUGAAAAUCAGGGCAUAGUUGGGGUUGAGGGCACUUGGACCUCACAGAAGAUGCUUAGUACAUUGCAUGAUCAAAAGCUCUACUAUGUUUAUUAAGCCCAAACAUCCCAGCUUUUCAUUUUGGUUUCAUCUCCGGAGCUCUCUGAUUUAAUUUAUUUUUCUUUUUCUGCCUCCUGUGACAGAACAGUUCCCUGGGCCCUUCUCUUUCUUGCUGCCAUCAUGUUCUUUAGUCUCUCCUUGAACUCUUCAUAUUGUUCAACCAGGAGAACUUUAGGAACAUUAUUCAGUGACUCCAUACCAUGUGCUGAGGGGACUCUGAGGGCUGUAAGAGUCAGGAAUUAGAUGAUGCAAGUCCUACCUGAGAAAACUUCCUUCUCUCUCCUAUAUGUUAUCAAACUUACAAGGUCAAGUUGAGCCUCACUAUUUGACUGGGUAAGAGGUGUAAAUGCUAAUAGUUAAUACAUUUGUUUUGCCAAUCAAAAGAAGUUGUCCUCCAUGCAUGACAAUUUCAAAUACCUAGGCAUCAAUAUUGAUUGCAUAAGAUUGUUAAAUGUAAACUGAUAAGGGCUCCAAAUCCAGAAGACAUACAUUUGACUCAAUCAAAAAAGGAACUGAGAUGUUAACAUUAUGGACAAAUAAUCCAGUAAUCCAAUUUGUACUAAUUAAAUUAGUUCUUCCUUUGGCUAUUCAGCUUCCUGUUCCAAAGUACAAUUGCUGAAAUUAAUUACUAUGGCUGACUCAUUCAUGUGCCACAUUUGACUACAAGAAUACAGCAUUUCUAGAAUAGAAGAUAGAAAAAUAAGUGUAUUUUAAUGAGAAGCACUACACAAUUUGUUAGGACUUAAAUGAGAUAUGAUUUCUUUUCUGUGCCAAUGGCCUGCACUGAGGGAACACUGGAACUACAAAAAGUUCUGUGCUGUCAUAACACGCCCUGCCAUUCUAUACAAAUGGGAACUACUCGUAAUUAAUAACCUCAAGAUGUCCUCUGACCACCUAGCAGAAUUUUUUAACAUAUCCCUAGAAGUCCAAGGGAUAGAUAGGAAAAAAACAACAAAACCCCAGAUGACACAUCAGGAAAAAAGUAAGCUUGGAAAUAACAGUGGCCAUUUUAUAAACUCUCAGGUGCAGCUUUUCAAUCAUUAGCAAACCAUUUACUAAUUAAAAAAAAAGUUGUGUUCUCUGAGACUGAAAAUCCUAGAGGUGCAGACAGCACUGUAGAACUGCAGAUUUGUCAUUAUCGUCUCUUCAUAAAACCGAGAAAGCUAAAGAGAAAAACUAACAAAUAGAAAUUAUACACUGUGUCUUGCUCAGUUUGCUAAAGCAGAGUCAAAUGCUGUUAGGGAAUGUGAGUAUUAUAGCUGACAGUCUCAGAAGUACUAACUCCCAUUGACACAAUACCAUGGGCCAAAUUCACACCUAUCAAAACCAGGCAUGACUUCCAUUGACAUUUCUGAGAGUUGGGCCAGCUGUGAAAUAGUUCCCCAGUCUUUAAAUGGCCUCUGACCUGCUACUGUCAGUUAGACAUUGACUUUAGUCCUAUUAUUGGAAUUUUCAUCCUGAAGGUCUUGGUUGGUGGAGUAGUUUUGUGAGUGCUUGUGUAUGCCCAUUCCAAUGGAGGGUGUGUGCAUCCCAUGUACCGAUGCCAGAGAGUUUUUACUAGCAGCUUUCCCUCAUGCCUGGAGCUGACAGUCUGGAGGGUGGUGCAGCCUUGUCCAUCCCUUCAAUUCCUUCUUAUCAUCUGUGGUUGGCACAUGGUGU